CCCUUCAUCACCGGAUUUGAACCAAUUGGACUACUUUGUCUGGUCCUACGUGGAGAACAUGACCAACUGCUUCUCCCAUAAUACCAAGCAGUCGCUCAUCACCCACAUCAAGGAUAAAUUCAGUGAGAUAGAAGCAGCACAGAUCCAAAAUGCCUGUUCUCGGUUUCGUAGCCGCAUUGAUCAGGUUUUGGCCGCAGACCGCGGUUACGUUGAAUAGACAGCUGCUCUAUAUCCUAAUGAAGAUAUUCAUUUUUAUUUUAUCAAUAAAUAUUAUAAAAUAAGCUUGUAGUUGUUGGGUUUUGAAGAGGCGUAUUUUUUCCACGCACCUUGUAUAAGUAUCAGCUUUUUAAAAAAAUGUACAGUUGGUUCUUCCCCAUCGUCGAUUUUCUUCCCAAUUCGUGUGGGCCUUAAAGAAAAAAUAUGGAAUUAUUCAUCAAUUUUUCCUCAACCAAAGGGCUACACUUUGAACUCCCUGGAAUUUGACAUGUAUAUUUUGGUGGAUAAGAAUUUCAAUGCUGGUCAAGUGAUGAGCUUAUGACAACUGCAAAAAUAUCCUCAUGAAAUUAUUUAUAUAAGUUGCAACAGUGAUUGUAAGAUACUUCAAAGUAUGUGCCAAAGGAGGAAUUAAAUUAUGAAUACAGUCAAACCUGGUCUAACGGCCCCUGUUUUAGUAUGUUACCAUACUAAGAUGCCAUAUCCAGGUAUAAACUUUAGAAUACUUACAAAACAAGAUAUCUGGUACAAGAGGGCAAAUAUGAGCUGACUUUGAUGGAAGGUAUAACAACGUCAAUCCAAAGAGCAAAAACAAAAAAUGCCCCAAGCAAUAUCAACAAUAACUUAGUUACAGUCCUCCAAUCUACACUUUUCAAGACAAUGAAUCUUUCGCAAGUUUACUAUAUAUGAUAAUUCUAGCCCAAUUAAUAUUUUAGGAUAAUAUAGUUAUACAAUAUAAUGGAACAAACACAUGUUGUGAGUUCACACAAAAACAAUCUUGAACAAAAGAAAAUGAGAAACGACCAACAUGCCUUUUAUACAUCAUAUAGUACAUAUUAAAUCGGCUGAAACGUUCUUAUACUGACACAUGGAUUGCACCACUAGAAUUAAAUAAUAUAUUUCUAGUUCUUAUUAACCUUUAAAAAAUACAUGUAGCUGUGGAAAAAUUGGUUGGGGAGAUAUAACAAUGUUAGUGAAGUCAUUUUUUAUUAUUGUUAACUCCUACUGUAGUGAACAUAGAAUAACAGCUGAUUUAUAUAUUGAAAAAAGGGAAAUAGAAAGAUAAAAAAAAAACGAUUUAAAAGAAAGUAAAUAAAUUUAAUUCAGCAAGCUUUGAUCAAAAGUUGCAAAAAUUAGGAUUAUUCUAAGAAAUUCCAUUUUUACAAAAGCAAAAAGUAGGAUUUUGUAACAAUAUUUUAAAGGCAUACUAAAAAUUUUGAAGAUAGAAGUUUUCCAAAACAGAUUUGAAUCAAUUUUUAAGAAUUUGAGCUACAUAAGAUUCAAGUUCCCUUACAAUGACUUAAAAUAAAGGACAUAAGUGUUUAUUUAAAAAAAAAGUUAAAUAUUGAAAAAUAAUCAAUUUUUUGAAAAGUUUAAAAUUUUUUUGGCAAAUUGAUUUUUCUUUCCAUUUUUUCAAUAAUAGAAAACGACAAAGCAACCUUAAAGAUAUUUAACUUUUUUAUCUGUCAAAAAUAAAUUAAAAAAAGAAAAUGGCUUUCAUCAUCAGCAUACGUUGUGGACAUGUGUAUUAGCAUAGUGAAAAAAAUGAAAAUGUAAUUCGGAGUAAAAUAACGGGUUCUUUUUGAUCAGAGUAGUAUUUACUACACAGAUGUGCAAUUUUCUUAUCAACUGAUAAUAUAAUA
rnacentral:lncRNA from 1 species